CCUACGGGAGGCAGCAGUAGGGAAUAUUGGUCAAUGGGCGGAAGCCUGAACCAGCCAUGCCGCGUGCAGGAAGAAGGCCCUCUGGGUUGUAAACUGCUUUUGACAGGGAACAAGUCGGCCAUGCGUGGCUAAGUGAGUGUACCUGUAGAAUAAGCCACGGCUAACUACGUGCCAGCAGCCGCGGUAAUACGUAGGUGGCAAGCGUUGUCCGGAUUUAUUGGGUUUAAAGGGUGCGUAGGCGGCCAUGUAAGUCAGUUGUGAAAUACCCCGGCUCAACCGGGGGGGUGCGAUUGAUACUGCGUGGCGUUGAGUGGCAGCGAGGUUGGCGGAAUUGACGGUGUAGCGGUGAAAUGCAUAGAUAUCGUCAAGAACACCGAUAGCGAAGGCAGCCAACUAGGGGCCAACUGACGCUGAGGCACGAAAGUGCGGGGAUCAAACAGGAUUAGAUACCCUGGUAGUCCGCACAGUAAACGAUGAUCACUCGGUGUUGGCGAUAUACAGCCAGCGCCCAAGGGAAACCCGAUAAGUGAUCCACCUGGGGAUACGCCGGCAACGGUGAAACUUAAANGAAUUGACGG
rnacentral:rRNA from 1 species